rfam:Enterococcus mundtii QT 25 DNA, complete genome.
AUAAAAACUUGUUAGGUGAGGCUCCUAAAAGAACACAGGCUACUGCCCUCAAACGUCGAGAGACGCCACAGGGUAUAACAGGCAACGUCGGCUUAAGGCGUGCUUAACGUAGCUAUCUGGAUUAUAUUUCCAGAAUUACGUCUUUUAGUGCUAAAGCUCAGACGAGAAGUUCGUUC